GUCCACGCCGUAAACGAUUAGUGCUAGGUGUUGGGGGGUACCACCCUCAGUGCCGAAGCUAACGCAUUAAGCACUCCGCCUGGGGGAGUACGGUCGCAAGACUGAAACUCAAAGGAAUUGACGGGGGCCCGCACAAGCAGUGGAGCAUGUGGUUUAAUUCGAAGCAACGCGAAGAACCUUACCAAGACUUGACAUCCCGCUGACCACUCUAGAGAUAGAGUUUCCCUUCGGGGCAGCGGUGACAGGUGGUGCAUGGUUGUCGU
rnacentral:rRNA from 1 species